rnacentral:rRNA from 1 species
CGUGAGCGGCGGACGGGUGAGUAACGCGUGGGUAACCGUGCCUCAUACAGGGGGAUAACAGUUGGAAACGGCUGCUAAUACCGCAUAAGCGCACAGUACCGCAUGGUACGGUGUGAAAAACUCCGGUGGUAUGAGAUGGACCCGCGUCUGAUUAGGUAGUUGGUGGGGUAACGGCCUACCAAGGCGACGAUCAGUAGCCGCCUGAGAGGGUGAACGGCCACAUUGGGACUGAGACACGGCCCAA